AUGCUGCUGCUGCUGCAGAAAAACCAGCAGCUGCAGAAAAACUCUGCAGAGACUCACAGAGAGAGGAUGGAGGCAGCAGAUGAAGCUGCUGCAGACUGACAGCUGAUGGAACUGAAGCACUUUCUACAUUCUAGUUCCAAAUGUUCUACAGAAUCAAUCAGAGGUUGAAAGUCUUCCUCAGUACUCGAGUACUUUAGUUCAGCAGUUCCUCUUUUCCUCUAAGGUGAAGCUUCAUGUGGACGACUUCUUCUUCUCUCCUCUUUUCUGGAGCUUGGGCUCCAUGCAGUCUGAUCAGCUCUGAUUUGGGCUUCAGUUGAUGUUUGUGAUCAGGAACUCUGGAUUCUUCUUAGAAGGAGACGUUCUGCCUCUUUAGCAGAGAGCAGAACGUUGAUCUGAUCUGUUGGAAGCCACUCCAUCCUGAAGCUGCACUGCUGAGUUCCUGUCCACCAGGGGGCAGUGUUACGGCUUUGCCUGCCUUAUUAUUCUGCUCAUCUGUCAGCUCACCAGGCAUGACCUAGACGGCGCCCUCAUGUGGACGGAUGAACACAUGACAGAGGGGAAGGACAGAGCUGCACAGCAGGGACGAGCAGAGACCUUUGUGUCACGUGGAGUAACAAUAAAAA